rfam:Felis catus isolate Cinnamon breed Abyssinian chromosome B3, whole genome shotgun sequence.
GCCCGGAUGGCUCAGUCGGUCGAGCGUCCGACUUUGGCUUGGGUCAUGAUCUCACGGCUUGUGAGUUCAAGUCCCGUGUCGGGCU